rnacentral:rRNA from 1 species
GACGAACGCUGGCGGCGCGCCUAACACAUGCAAGUCGAACGAGCGAGAGAGAGCUUGCUUUCUUGAGCGAGUGGCGAACGGGUGAGUAACGCGUGAGGAACCUGCCUCAAAGAGGGGGACAACAGUUGGAAACGACUGCUAAUACCGCAUAAGCCCACGGUGCCGCAUGGCACAGAGGGAAAAGGAGCAAUCCGCUUUGAGAUGGCCUCGCGUCCGAUUAGCUAGUUGGUGAGGUAACGGCCCACCAAGGCGACGAUCGGUAGCCGGACUGAGAGGUUAAACGGCCACAUUGGGACUGAGACACGGCCCAGACUCCUACGGGAGGCAGCAGUGGGGAAUAUUGCACAAUGGGGGAAACCCUGAUGCAGCGACGCCGCGUGGAGGAAGAAGGUCUUCGGAUUGUAAACUCCUGUUGUUGGGGAAGAUAAUGACGGUACCCAACAAGGAAGUGACGGCUAACUACGUG